AUUUUUUCAGUACUCUGUUCGCCUAUUUCAGAGUCUUUGAUUUAUGGCACAAACAACUCCAAACCACACCCAGACUGUUUCUGGGUGGGCAGCUCACGAUUCCUCUGGCAAGAUCACCCCUUACGUUUUCAAAAGAAGAGAGAACGGUGUCAACGAUGUGACCAUAAAGAUCUUGUAUUGUGGGAUAUGCCACACAGAUCUCCACCAUGCGAGGAACGAUUGGGGCAUUACCAUGUAUCCUGUGGUUCCAGGGCAUGAAAUUACAGG
rnacentral:misc_RNA from 1 species